rnacentral:rRNA from 1 species
CGUGAGAGUUGGGUUAAGUCCCGCAACGAGCGCAACCCCUAUUGUUAGUUGCUACGCAAGAGCACUCUAGCGAGACUGCGUUGACAAAACGGAGGAAGGUGGGGACGACGUCAAAUCAUCAUGCCCCUUAUGUCCUGGGCUACACACGUAAUACAAUGGCGGUCAACAGAGGGAUGCAAAAUCGCAAGAUGGAGCGAACCCCUAAAAGCCGUCCCAGUUCAGAUUGUGGGCUGCAACCCGCCCACA